rnacentral:rRNA from 1 species
UACGUAGGCAGCGAGCGUUGUUCGGAAUUACUGGGCGUAAAGAGUGCGUAGGUGGUUGGCUAAGUUUGGUGUGAAAUCUCCCGGCUUAACUGGGAGGGUGCGCCGAAAACUGGCUAGCUAGAGUGUGGGAGAGGAACGUGGAAUUCCUGGUGUAGCGGUGAAAUGCGUAGAUAUCAGGAGGAACACCUGAGGUGUAGACGGCGUUCUGGACCAUUACUGACACUGAGGCACGAAAGCGUGGGUAGCAAACAGG